AGCAUCAUGUCCAUCUCCAGAUAUGGCCUCAGUGGGUUUGUGAAGUGAAGAAAGCAAGAGCUCACAACCAGUGAUUUCCAGUUGCACCCCCAUGUUAUUGAACAGCCUCCUUCUAGAAAUUGAAUCAGCACAACCAUUUUGCCCUCUGAAACUAUGAAAGACUGAGAUAUCAUAGAGAGCAUUUGGAGAACAAAUGGUCAUUAUUGUUCCUACUGUUUUAUUGGGAAUGUCCUGUGGAAUUGGGAUCAUAGAAAACACCCAAGAGCAUAGAAGAGUUCAGAGGCAGGUGCAUAAAUAAAUGUCUUAAACGUA